AAUUUAACCAAUUUACAGAUACGACAGAUAGUCAAAUAUCUUUUACGUCACUGGAUAAAAUACGGAAAAGUGCAAAUGGCAGGGGAAGAGAAAAGCGGAGAAGAGGAAAAUAUAUUUCUCUCUGAUCCUCGAAUUACCAAAUUACACAACUCAAGCUCGGGUUCUCUUAUCUUAAGACGAGACUUUCACGAGUGAGCUCCGUUUGAAACGUCAUUUAAAGUUCUCCGUUACGAGAACGAGUCACAGCAUGUGACCCGACCCUCGUGAAACACGCAGAAUUUAAGGAUCUGCAGAUCCCGUAAUCAGAAGCUACAAAGACAUAUUGAAAUCCAUUUUUAAAUUUCGGAUAUAUUUAAAAAAUCGAAGAUAAAUUUUCGGGAUGCAGGGAACACACAGGUGAAGUCGAGAACUCGAGCAAAAGCGCAAAUAAUCUAUUGUAGGAUCUGAUAGAUGACACAUGAUAUGUGAGUUCCCCAUAUUGUCCCUUGUGCGAAAUGAGUGCGUCAGCAGACGAGAUUUCGGCUUUAUAAGAGAGGCUUUGAUCAGCGCAACGUGAGUAAGAAGGCAAACAUUUGAGUAACAUGAGAUGAGGCUUCGGAUUCGAUAAACGCUUCAUGGGGUCAGAUCCAUUAGCGUGACGCCGCUAAAUUGCUGUAAACCGAUAUACUGGGGUACCCUAAACGUCACAUUAAUUAGCGCUAAUUGACGAUUAAGUACGGCAUACCGGCGCGAAAAUUCUCUUCAGACACUGACUUUGUUUUACCGAUUGAUAAUGAUUUCACAUAUGCACAUAUUUCCAUUUCAUAACCAAUACAUAUUGUAAAUAUGUGACUCAAAUAAUUACAACUAUUUUUCUGGAAAUACAAAUAUUUAAGUCUCCAGAAA